GUCAGCCUCUGGCUUUCUUGAUGGAAGUGGGUGCAGUAGAAUCUACAGAUGAAGGAGGAUGAGGAGGAGGAGUUGAGCUUUGAGGUUGAACCUGGUGGUCAAUGAUGGAGUGGAGCUUUGAGGUUGAACGAGAACGAGAGUGAGAGCUUGAGAGGGAGAGGGAGUUGCAGCUAGGGUUAGGAAAUUAAGGAAUGAGAGAGGUCAGAUAGAGUAGUC
rnacentral:lncRNA from 1 species